UACCGCCGCCGGGACUCGAACCCGGACCUCCAGUUCCGAAGACUAACACGCUGACCAUUGCGUCACGGCAGC
rnacentral:tRNA from 1 species